rnacentral:rRNA from 1 species
UACGUAGGGUGCGAGCGUUAAUCGGAAUUACUGGGCGUAAAGGGUGCGCAGGCGGCGUCGCAAGUCAGGCGUGAAAUCCCCGGGCUCAACCUGGGAAUUGCGAUGGAGACUGCAAGGCUAGAAUCUGGCAGAGGGGGGUAGAAUUCCACGUGUAGCAGUGAAAUGCGUAGAGAUGUGGAGGAACACCGAUGGCGAAGGCAGCCCCCUGGGUCAAGAUUGACGCUCAUGCACGAAAGCGUGGGGAGCAAACAGG